UACGGAGGUGGCAAGCGUUGUUCGGAAUUAUUGGGCGUAAAGGGCGCGUAGGCGGCUUGACAAGUCAGAUGUGAAAGCCCCGGGCUUAACUCGGGAAUUGCAUCUGAAACUGUUUUGCUUGAGUCCUGGAGGGGGUAGUGGAAUUCCCAGUGUAGCGGUGAAAUGCGUAGAUAUUGGGAGGAACACCUGCGGCGAAGGCGGCUACCUGGACAGUGACUGACGCUGAGGCGCGAGAGCUAGGGGAGCGAACGGGA
rnacentral:rRNA from 1 species